GGCAUCUUCUUUACAACAUAAAAUAGACGAGGUGUGUUCUUUGUCAAUUUCCCUUUGGCAUCUGAGACAGAAGGACGGAGCUCUGCCAAGGAAGCCAUGGUGUGUGGGGAAGCAGGAGGUCAGACAAACGACUGGAACCAUAUUUUGAAGGACAAGGAAGCAAGGAUUACUUCUGUCUAGUUUCUGAUCCCUCAGGAGGAAUCAGAGAAGUUAGGGCUGGAGGAAAAUCAACUCAUCACCAUUAAGUUCACCUCCCGGAUUGAGCAGCAGGAAGUCCCCACUCUUGUUGUGAGUGCGUUUUCCGCAGCAGUGACUCUACCCAGAUCCUACAUAGAAGAUAGGUAUAUAUGUUACCUACAAUACCUACCCCAC
rnacentral:lncRNA from 1 species